rnacentral:rRNA from 1 species
AUUGAACGCUGGCGGCAGGCCUAACACAUGCAAGUCGAACGAGUGGCGGACGGGUGAGUAAUGUCUGGGAAACUGCCCGAUGGAGGGGGAUAACUACUGGAAACGGUAGCUAAUACCGCAUACCAUCGGAUGUGCCCAGAUGGGAUUAGCUAGUAGGUGGGGUAACGGCUCACCUAGGCGACGAUCCCUAGCUGGUCUGAGAGGAUGACCGGCCACACUGGAACUGAGAAAGGGUCCAGCUCCCUACGGGAGGAAGCAGUGGGGAAUAUUGGACAAGGGGCGAAAGCCUGCUGCACACAGGCCGGGUGUAUGAAGAAGGCUUUCGGGUUGUAAAGUACGUUCAGCGGGGAGGCGUUACCCGAAGAAGAAGCACCGGCUAACUCCGUGCCAGCAGCCGCGGUAAUUC